CUCUAGAUCAGGCAAUGAUUUAGGGCAAAAGGAG
ncrna:unclassified sequences L31-Firmicutes ribosomal protein leader